UGGUCGUGGAACAGCCAGAAGAAGGGAGGAAGAGGAUCUGAGGGAGCGGGUGGGGGUGGUAACAGUCAGGAGCUCUGAGAGAUAUGGAGGGGUGAGGUUGUGAAGGGCUUUGAAAGUUAAAAUUAGGAUUUUGUAAGUGAUGUGGGUGAGGGUGAGGUACUGGUAACCAAUGAAGCUGCUGUAAGACAGGUGUAAUAUGGUAAAUGGAGGGGGUUUAGGUUAUAAUUCGAGCAGCUGAGGUUUGAACCAGUUGAAGCUUACGGAGGUUUUUUUGUGGAAGUCCAGAAAGAAGGGAGUUACAGUAAUCGAUACGGGAGGUGAUGAGACUGUGGACUAGGACAGCUGUGGAGACGAGGAAUGUUACGCAGAUGGAAGUAAGCGGAGCGGGUGAUGUUAUUGAUGUGGGCAGUGAAUGAGAGAGUAAUGUCAAGGAUGACACCCAGACAUCAAGACCUGGAUGACAAUUAAUUAGUCUUGGAUGAUAGCGAGAUUAUUUAAACCCUUUUGCAGAGCUGCUAACACCCUAACAGCCUGCUGGUCUCGCAGAUGAUCGGACGGCUGAAAGCGUCAGCCUCCCCGCUCCUGGCAUGACACAGGCGGAGGAUUGACCCGACCUUCCAUGUCAGUCACUCCGUGCCUGACGCAACCAGCUGAAGCUACUCACCUCAUCAGCCUGCAGCCUCUUAAGGAGAUCCAGGACCAGUAUUCGACGCCAGUUUCGUUGUACUCCUAUGGAAAUCCCACCACUAGAGCUUACCUGGUUGCCGUCCUUCAUCCGUGCUCCUAGCCCUAGCCUCGCAUCCUGCUCAGACUUCGUCAUGCGGUUGCGGCCAUCAAAACCCUCCAGCCACAUCACCUUGCCGUCUCAGGAACUCUGAACUUCCAUCUUGACUAUAAUCCAACCUUGAACUGUUAAUUAAAUCCAUUAUACUUACCUUACGGUUUUCCUGAGUUUCCUUCCGGGUUCCAGCAUUUGGGUCUGCCAAGUCUCGCAUGAUCAUGACAGAAAUG